UGCAGAUUGCUUCUCUUGGGGUUUUUCUUGUGAGCCUGUAACAUGGGGAGUGCUAGAGGAGUUAAUUUCCACACAGUUUCAUGUAAAACAGUGCUAACGGAGCACUAGAAUAUUGCAGCAUUGCAGAAGAUAUCAAAGAAUGAAUAAUAAUGAAAAACUCAAAAGUCCAGGAGUCAGCUGCUGGGUAUACGAAGCAUCUGAACCCAGUUUCUGGAAGGAUCUGCCAUGUACAUGUGUGCAUGUGUAAACACACACACAUUUGUAUAGGAUGAAGCUGUUGGUUCUGUCUGUUUUUGUGUAAAUGCUUUGUGUCUGACAGUGAUCUUCAUUUAUACAUAUAUAAAGAACACAUAUAUAAAUCUGAUGCUUACCUGAUCUGUUUGUUGUUUACCUACUGGGAAAGAAUCUUCACUGGACCCAGUGAUACGGAGCAGCAGCAGCAGCCUUGUUGCUGAAUAAGAUGUAGUAUUAAGAUAACGAAAGUACAUCCAAAGGUUUUGUUCAGGAUUCAUUUCAGGAUUUUGCAAACAGGUGAUUAUUUCUGUAUAAAUGGCAUAAUGUGAUCUAAAGCAGUAUUUCAUGAUCCCUCUCUUCCUGCAUAAAAGGACCUUAAACCAUAUUGUCUUGGAUACGUCAGCACUUCUUCCAGAUCAUUAACACUGAUCUGUGAAAACACUGAUAUAUUUAAGACAGAAAACUUGUUUGUUUGUUUGUUUUGCUUAAUGCAUUUUAAAUGUACAAAGUAAGUAUUAAAAGUACUUUUUCUUUAUGAGCAGUAUAGUUAUUAAAAUCUUUGUACUGUUAGCUCAUGUACUGUCAUGGACUCAGCCAUCUGUAGUCAAUGAAAUUUCAGAGGUGAAAUCACGUGAUUCUAUGAUUCUUCUCCAUAAUCUGCCCAGAGAGAGCAGUCUGCACAAUCAAAACUCAAAGUUAGAAAAAUUGAAUGAAAGGGACCACAAAACCUGUUUGUAUAUACAAUAUAGCACUACCAUUACAGUUAAAAUUAAUAUUGAGAGUGAUCCUUCUGGUAAAUGUUUCUUACUGAAAAUAUUUUUUGUAAUUAAAUAGAAUUUGAAAAUUAUCUUUGCCAUUGCUAACUUGGGUCAUUUUGACUAUACUUUCACACUUUGUCUUUUGUGUUUCUGAAAUGUACAUAUCAAAAAAACAUGAUUUUUUUUAACACUAUUCAUAGUUAAGAAAACUGCAUUUUACUCUUGGGUACUGUCAUGGAUGGAAGCAACUACACUAUCCACUUCACUCCUAAGAGAGAAUCAUAAAAUUAUUAAUAAAAUAUAAUGUGGUGAUUUGACUGCAACUUAACAAGAUUUGAGGAUGGAGAUCCUAUUGUGCUGCUGUGUAGGAAAGUUCAUCUUUUUCAUUAUUAUUUUUAACAGAUACUUUAUUAUGAAAAACACCGUUAAAAUUCUGUUUGGUGUGUUUGUUUUUUGGUGGUGGUGGUGGUGUUUGAAACAUUGUAUUUGGGGGGUUAAAUGUAUUUAAAUAACAUUUAAGUGUCUAUAUAGUGCAACAUUCCAAUUUCUGAUAAACUUGAAUUUUACCUUUUGAGGUUGUACCUCAAGUUGUAAU
ensembl:lncRNA